rnacentral:lncRNA from 1 species
ACGGUCCAGUAAAAAGCAUAAAGAAAGAAAUCAAAAACAAAAAACCAAAAAAACUACUAGAACAAACGGUCUUAAAACAAACUAACAUAACUAGCCCAUCUCAUCCAAAUGCAAGUAAACUAAAACAGCAAACAAAUCUUCUCCUAUGCCAGCCAAAUCUAACAGCUGGAUGCCAAUAUCUUGUGUCUUUUCACGUCAAUCAACCCAGCCACUAAUGAUAGCAGGUUUUCAAAAAUUGAAAUGAAUUCUUAUCUGCUACCUUUUAUUUCCAAACCUUUCAUUUCUUCAUUUGCUCAGUCUGGAGGCUUUAGCAGAGGGUUCUCCACAGCUUGACGAGCCAAAUCUGGAAUUCCUCCCAUCAGGUAAAAACUCUCUCUUCUUUUUAAGGCCUCCUUUACGAUAACAUGUGCGUAGAUAUUCCCUGCUUUAGGGACAUAAUAAAACUCAAUCUCCUGGAAUCUGACUUUUCUGCUUUGAAUAUCCCUGAUAAUGGCUCCAAUGACCGAUUUAUCUAUACCAGUACUCUGGCAUUUCUUAAUGACAGUUUUCGAGUCCCUCGCUACUUUUAUUUUAUUUAAUCCCAUAAGAAUCCCUAAUUUUACUGCCUGUAACACUGCAUAUGCCUCUGCCAUGAAUGGAGUUGCUAUCUCGGAGUGUAUGACUGCUUUCGAUGCAAGGAUCUCUCCCUCCUCAUUCUGUACAAGCAAACCCGUAGCCGAUCUGGACGAUUGACAGUUAAAUGCUGCAUCAAAAUGAAUUGUGACCCUUCCUCUUCUACAUUCCUGUUGGGUAUUUUUAGUAGAUUGAAGAGGAAGUUUUCUCUUUUUUAUUGCAUCCAACUCUAUGAUAUAGUUUUGAGUUUGCCUUACUAUUUCGAUUCCUGUCGUAUUUCUUCUUUCAUAUAGUAAUCGAUUUCUGUUGAACCAGAUUAACUAGAAUCCGCAACAAAAAAGUCGGAUUUGCUCAGUAGUCCAUUGGCCGAAGAUCCAGGUAAACCAUUCCCAUAUAUUCAGAUUGUUAUGGUUUAAUACCCAUGUUAGAUUUAACUGGUUCCAUACCUCAACUGUUGUAGGGCACUAUUGAAAAAUAUGAAUGUUGUCUUCUUCUCCUUGGCGACAUUUAGGGCAUUGAGCUUCCACCACAACCCUCUUAAGCUUUAGAUUGACAAGGGACUGAAUGAAGUUCCAGGAAAAUCUCUAUACUGUAAUCUGUAUUUUUGAGGGAAUUUCCAUAGUUUCCUAUAGAAGCUUUUAAUUUUGGCAUGUAAAGUAAAAUUAUUAGGAUCCAAGCUAGUUUCAUGUAAUAGUUUAUAGGCACUCUUUACAGAGAACUCCCCUAUCAACUCCCCUCUCUAUACUUGAAAAUCCUCGUGUGUCGUCUCCGCUAGUGGAAUCUUCAGGAUUUUUUCUGUUAUAUCCAUUCAAAAGGUAUUCCUUACGACCUUUGUUUUCCAACUUCUAUUAUUGGCUUCUAUUAGAUCCGAUACUAACUUGAUAUUUUCAAUGUUAUCUUGAUUUGGUACUUUAUCUACUUCGUUUCCUGAUAUCCACAAAUCGUCCCAAAUGGAUAUUUGAUCACCUCUCCCAACCCUCCAGCAUAAGCCUUUCUCCAAAAGCCCUCUCGCGACCCAAACACUCUUCUAGGUGAGCGAAGGUAAAUUUCCUAAUCGAGCUUUGUAGAAAUUCGAAUUAGGAUAAUAUUUUGCCUUCAAAAUGCGGGCUAAUAAUGAAUUUGGAUAAUUAACUAGACGCCACCCUUGCUUUGCUAAUAACGCAACAUAAAACUUCGCAAGAUCUCAAAAACCAAGGUCAUCUUCUUUUAAUAAGCAUAGAUCUUUCCAAGCGCACCAAUGAAUACCUUUCCUAUUAUGACUAUUAUCCCCUCCAAUUCAGCACAUAGAACCUUAGGAAGUAGAAAACAAGACAUCUUAUAAGUUGGGAUAGAUUGGAGAAUAGCUUUGACAAAAACUUCCUUCCCUUUGGAAGAGAUAUCUUAUACUCCAACUUUCAAUUUGUUGUUUAAAUCUAUCCUUCAAAUUUUGAAAAGACGAUCUCUUCCUUAUAACCACCAUAUUGGGAAGUCUUAGAUGCCGUUUUGGAUCGUGAAACUGUAACCCUUUCCUCUUCUUGUGUAUUGGUACUGAAGAAAAUAGAUGAUUUAUCAUAAUUGACACAUUGGCCUGAACUCAUCUCAUACUCAUUCAAUAUUUGUUUUAGAGAAUGUGCUCCCCUUUCAGUAGCUUCUGCAAAUAAGAUAUAGCCAUCGACAAAGAGUAGAUGAGAGAUGGUUGGCCCAUUUUGACUAGCUUUAACUCCUUUUAAGGAUGUUUCUUGCUUUUACAAGCCUUAUUAGACUUGAGAGCCCUUCCCCACAAAAUAGAAAUAAAAACGGACUUAAAGGGUCUCCUUUUCUAAGGCCUCUAGAUGGAAGAAAAAGUUUCUCAUAUAUUUCCAUUUAAAACUACAGAAUAUGAUACUGUAGACAUAUUUCAUUAACAGAUCAACCUAUCCUGGAUCAAAUCUCAUUUUCUUUAUCACCCCCUCCACAAAAUUCCUUUCAUCCUUAUCAUAUGCCUUACUGAUGUCUAGUUUCACAGCCAUAAGCCCUUUUAUCCCUCUCUUCUUGUGUUUUAAAGUGUGCAGAAUUUCAUACGCUAAUAACACAUUAUCAAAAAUUAGCCUCCCUGGAGCAAAGCACUUUGUGCUAAAUCGAUACAUUUAUGAAUCACUACUCGAAGCCGAUUAACAAUGACCUUAGCUAUCAAUUUAUAAAGCACAUUGCAUAAACUAAUUGGUCUAAAUUGUGUAAUACUAGAAGGAUUCGUAAUUUUUGGGAUUAACACUAUUUUUUUUCUUGAUCGAAUGAAAUUCCAUACCUUCAUUUAAUCUUUGAAGGCAAAAAGUAGAGACAUCCUCUCUAAAGAUUGGCCAGCAUUUUUGAUAAAUAAGGCUGGAAACCCAUUCUCUCUUGGAGCUUUUGUAGAACCCAUUUAUGAUAGAGCUUCUUUUAUCUCUUCUUUGGUGUAACUUGCCUUUAAUUUAUAAUUAUCUUCCUCAGAAAUAUAGUAGUCAAUUCCUGACAAGAUUUUAUCAUGGUUAUCUCAUCUUUCUGCUAAAAAUAACUUCAUAAAAUACAAUUUGGCAAUUUCCUCCAUCUCUCUAAACUCCACUGUCUCUUUACCAUCUUCAAAUUGCAUUUUGUGGAUAAAAUUUUGUUUCCAUCUUUGUGUCACUUGCUUAUGAAAAAACGUUGUAUUUUUGUCUCCAAGUUUCAACCAAUUUAAUCGGGCCCUCUGUUCCCAGUAGCAUUCAUCAUUUUCUAUCUCGAAGUUCAAAUGGAUCUUAGUAUCUAUAAGCUCUGUCAAAUUCUGAUCACUUCCAUCAUAUUCCAGUAACGUUGCUAACUUUGAAGUUAGAACCUCUGUUUUCAUUUUUUUACUCCAUCGAAUCUGACGUGCCCAGCUUUCUAAACCUCUUUUCAGAUUUUCCAAUUUACUCAAAAGAUCUCUUAUGGAAUUUUCCCAAAGACGCCUAGCUUUCUCAAAAAAUGUUUCCUCCAAAACCCAAAACCCACCUGGCUUCAAACUUAAAAUUUUUAUUAAGCAGCCUUCUAGCUCCAUAUUCUGUAUUAAUAAGAAGUGGACAAUGUAAUAUCCUGAAUUAGGGCUUAAUCGAAAUAGUGGUUUCGUGACCACAAAUCUGAGAUAGAAAUAAUAAUUUUAUAAUUAUUUUGAUGAUUAUGAUAUGAUUGCAUGAUUGUGUGAAAAUUUCGUGAAGAAAUUUUAUGCCUAAAAUGCUUAAAUUGAAAGUAGGGACUAAAUCGAAUAAGUUGUAAAACUUACAUUCUAGAAAUUUUUAGUAUAAAAUUGUUUUAGAAUAUUAAUGAGGAUUAAAAUAGAAAUUUGACCAAUUUUAAGUUCAUGGACAAAAUUAGAACAUGGAAAGAAUUUUUGGAAAGUUUAGUAGUAAGGGUAUUUUGGUCAUUUAAUUAUUAAAAUGAAUUAAAAAUAAAAUUAAAAGUUAAUUUUUGUCCAUCUUCUUCAUUAGGCCGAAAUUUUAAGGGUUUUCUAUAGCUAGGGUUUGUUUUAAGCUUCUAAGCUUCAUAAUAAGUGAUUUCAAGCCCCGUUUUUAAUGUUCUUUACGUUUUCAGAAUCCCGGUAGUUCAAUUAAGCUUAUGUUAGCAAUAAUUCAACCUAGGGUUUAUAUUUGAAAAAAUACUCAUAGGUGAAAUUUGUGUAUUAUGAUGUUUUAUGAUAGAAUAUGAGGUUUUAAAUUAUGUCAAAUUCUCAUCACUUCCAUCAUAUUCCAGUAAUGUUGCUAACUUUGAAGUUAGAACCUCUGUUUUCAUUUUUUUACUCCAUCAAAUCUGACGUGCCCAGUUUUCUAAACCUCUUUUCAGAUUUUCCAAUUUACUCAAAAGAUCUCUUAUGGAAUUUUCCCAAAGACGCCUAGCUUUCUCAAAAAAUGUUUCCUCCAAAACCCAAAACCCACCUGGCUUCAACUUAAAAUUUUUAUUGAGCAGCCUUCUAGCUCCAUAUUCUGUAUUAAUAAGAAGUGGACAAUGUAAUAUCCUGAAUUAGGGCUUAAUCGGAAUAGUGGUUUCGUGACCACAAAUCUGAGAUAGAAAUAAUAAUUUUAUAAUUAUUUUGAUGAUUAUGAUAUGAUUGCAUGAUUGUGUGAAAAUUUCGUGAUGAAAUUUUAUGCCUAAAAUGCUUAAAUUGAAAGUAAGGACUAAAUCGAAUAAGUUGUAAAACUUGCAUUCUAGAAGUUUUUAGUAUAAAAUUGUUUUGGAAUAUUAAUGAGGAUUAAAAUAGAAAUUUGACCAAUUUUAAGUUCAUGGACAAAAUUAGAACAUGGAAAGAAUUUUUGGAAAGUUUAGUAGUAAGGGUAUUUUGGUCAUUUAGUUAUUAAAAUGAAUUAAAAAUAAAAUUAAAAGCUAAUUUUUGUCCAUCUUCUUCAUUAGGCCGAAAUUUCAAGGGUUUUCUAUAGCUAGGGUUUGUUUCAAGCUUCUAAGUUUCAUAAUAAGUGAUUUCAAGCCCCAUUUUUAAUGUUCUUUACGUUUUCAGAAUCCCGGUAGUUCGAUUAAGCUUAUGUUAGCAAUAAUUCAACCUAGGGUUUAUAUUUGAAAAAAUACCCAUAGGUGAAAUUUGUGUAUUAUGAUGUUUUAUGAUAGAAUAUGAGGUUUUAAAUUAUGUCAAAUUCUCAUCACUUCCAUCAUAUUCUAGUAACGUUGCUAACUUUGAAGUUAGAACCUCUGUUUUCAUUUUUUUACUCCAUCAAAUCUGACGUGCCCAGCUUUCUAAACCUCUUUUCAGAUUUUCCAAUUUACUCAAAAGAUCUCCUAUGGAAUUUUCCCAAAGACGCCUAGCUUUCUCAAAAAAUGUUUCCUCCAAAACCCAAAACCCACCUGGCUUCAAACUUAAAAUUUUUAUUAAGCAGCCUUCUAGCUCCAUAUUCUGUAUUAAUAAGAAGUGGACAAUGUAAUAUCCUGAAUUAGGGCUUAAUCGGAAUAGUGGUUUUGUAAUCACAAAUCUGAGAUAGAAAUAAUAAUUUUAUAAUUAUUUUGAUGAUUAUGAUAUGAUUGCAUGAUUGUGUGAAAAUUUCGUGAUGAAAUUUUAUGCCUAAAAUACUUAAAUUGAAAGUAGGGACUAAAUCGAAUAAGUUGUAAAACUUGCAUUCUAGAAGUUUUUAGUAUAAAAUUGUUUUGGAAUAUUAAUGAGGUCUAAAAUAGAAAUUUGACCAAUUUUAAGUUCAUGGACAAAAUUAGGACAUGGAAAGAAUUUUUGGAAAGUUUAGUAGUAAGGGUAUUUUGGUCAUUUAGUUAUUAAAAUGAAUUAAAAACAAAAUGAAAAGCUAAUUUUUGUCCAUCUUCUUCAUUAGGCUGAAAUUUCAAGGGUUUUCUAUAGCUAGGGUUUGUUUCAAGCUUCUAAGCUUCAUAAUAAGUAAUUCCAAGCCCCAUUUUUAAUAUUCUUUACGUUUUUAGAAUCCCGGUAGUUCGAUUAAGCUUAUGUUAGCAAUAAUUCAACCUAGGGUUUAUAUUUGAAAAAAAUACCCAUAGGUGAAAUUUGUGUAUUAUGAUGUUUUAUGAUAGAAUAUGAGGUUUUAAAUUAUGUUAGACAACUUGUGCUACUCGGUUUUGAGUGAAAACGAGUAAAAGGGCUUAAUCGACAAAAAUACCUAAUAGUCACAAGUAUAUGUUAGAGAGAGAAUUUGAUGUUGCCAUAGAAGGAAAAACUGAUCAGCAUGUUAUAAAAUAUAAGAAUAAGGAAUAAAGUUUAAUUCCCGAGCCUAGAGGCAAAAGUUUAAUUAUGCAAAAAUUUAGGGGCAAAAGUGUAAUUUUUUUAAAGUUCGUAUUAAAUGCUGUUUUAAUGAAUGUAUGUAUUAAAUAAGAUUAAUUUGGUAUUAUAGAUCAAUAAAAAUGAGAUUCAAGUCGCGAUCGAGGAAAAGAAAAGAUUGUGGACUAAAUUGUAAAAUUUUUAUAUUUUGGUACCAAGGUAAGUUCAUGUGUAAAUGUAGUAAAAUAAUUGUCAUUUUAAGCAAUUUAAUGUUUAUAUGAUAUGAUGUUGAUUAUUAUCAUGAAAUAUUAUGCUUUGUGGUUAUUGUUGAAUAAUAUGUAAUUAUAUGAAUUACUUGAUGAGUAUGAACUAUCAUCGAAGUACCGAUUUCGAUAAUCCGUGGAAGGCGGCAAAGAUGUGUCAUCGAGGAAAACGUCCGUUUGAACCUUAGGAAUAUAUUAGGAUACAAGUGACAUGUCACUAGAAUGGUUGAGCAUCUGAACUCGUUGAGUUGAGUCCGAGUUCACUUAUUGAUGCGAAUGUCUGAACUCGUUGAUUUGAGUCCGAGUUCGUGAAAUGUAACUAGGCAUCCGACCUCGUUGAGUUGAGUUCGAGUUCACUUAUGGAUGCGAACGCCCGAGCUCGUUGAGUUGAGUCUGAGUUCACUUAUGGGCGGGUUACAUGGUAGCUUAAUUAUAUAUGAGGCAUUUAUGUGCAAAUUAUCCGUGUAUCCAAGUUGUAUUUCGAUGUGUUCAACGGGUGAAAUUUCUAGUGAAAUGGAAGAACACUUAAGAUGCAAGCGAUGUUUUGGUAAGUGUUGUGAAAUGGAAACUUUGGACAGGUAUGUUCUUAACCCUCGGGUUGAAAAUAGAUACAACAAUGAUAAGGUGGUAAGAUGAGGAAUGAUGUUUAGAAAUGUGAUAUAUGUUUUGGUGAUACCAUGCUAAAAUUGUUUGGUAUAUUUGUAUUGUUAUGUUACUUGUUAUUUACAUAUGAACUUACUAAGCAUUUAUGCUUACUCUCUCCUUUUUAUUUACUGUAGUUUUGAACAAGUCAGCUCGGGAAUCAGGACGAGUCGAAGGUUCGAUCACACUAUCCAAAGGACUUUCAUCUGGGUAAAUGGCUUGUAAAACUUAAGUAUGGCAUGUAUAGCAAUAUACUUAUUUUGUGUAAAUAAUUUUAUGAUAUGGCCAUGUUUGGUUGAGAAAAUGUUUGAUAUUGAUAAGUCAUUAUGAUGGCUAAUUUAGACCAUGUUUGAUAUUAUGAAGUUUAAUAGGUUAUCUAGUUCAUAAAAAUUCAUGGAAAGAUGAAACUUGCCUUAAAACAGAAUAUUGAUGCAGCAAUGACAUGAAUUUAAAAAAUCACUAAAAAUAGUAUAAAUGGAAAUAAAUGAUGAGUAAGUUAUGAAAUUGAAGCUUAAUGAGUCUAUUUUCAUGUGGAUUGAACAAAACAGGUAUAUAAAUUAUAUUUUAUGAGAUAUUUAAACUUUUGUGAAACAGGACCAGAGUGAUUUCUGGAUCCCCUGUUCUGAUUUUAAAAAUUCAUAAUAAAUUUUACAAAAAUAAUUAGAAGUUGUUUUUUAUAUUUACAGGUUCUUUAUUGAGUCUAGUUUUAAGAGAAAAAACCUCAGUCAUUUAAUUUCUGUAUAGAGAAAUAUCUGAUUCGUAAUACACAGAUGUCAGAGCAGUCGAACCUUGAAACAGGGGAAACUUUAACUAAUAAACUGUACUAAUUGGCCCAACCAAAAAUUCUAGAAAAAAAUUAGUAAAUAGAUAUAUGAGUCUAUAUUUAGGGAAAAUUUACAGAUAUAGAUUUCGAGUUUCGUAACUCAAGAUAUGAUUUUUCUUGUAACUGUGACGCGGGUAGUUAGAAAGCUGUGAAUGUAGAAAUAAACGAUUUGAAGUUCUUAAUUUGAUAAAUAUUGUUCGGUAACCCCUCAAGCUCGACUCCGGCGAUGGUCUCGGGCGUGGGGGCGUUACAUUUAAUGGUAUCAGAGCAGGUUUAGUCGGUUCUCGGACUACGUGUUGUAUGUACAGAUUUUGCUAUACAUGCCAUAUGUAUGAAUUGUGAUAGUGUGACGACUUCUGACAUUUUUAAAUGAUUUUUAUAUAGUAAAUGGAUCCCGAUCCAGCUGUGGCAGAUGAAGUAGAGAGUAAUGCGCCAGCUCCGGCUGAAGGGGCAGCGCCGACUGAAAACCCACCUCCUACUGUUGGUCAGGGAGGAGGAGAAAGGGAUCGGGAAGCCUUUCUCCAAAUGAUGAGUGCAUGGUACACUGAGUUCGUUCGUACGAACCCAAAUGUACGACCUCCCCCACCUCCCCCAAUUCCUCAACCUAUGCCUCCGAUGCCUCAAGGAGUGGAUAUGAUAAAAUUUAAUAAAACCCCCGUUGAUAGAAUUCGUAAACAAGGGGCUGAAGAAUUUAGAGCAAAUAUUGAUGAUGAUGCAGAGAAAGCAGAGUUCUAGCUUGAAAAUUCUGUCCGGGUAUUUGAUGAAUUAUCUUGUACACCUGAAGAAUGUUUGAAAUGUGCUACAUCUUUGUUGAGAGAUUCAGCCUAUAAUUGGUGGAAGACUUUGAUUUCGGUGGUACCGAACGAGAGGGUAACCUGAGAAUUCUUUCAAGAAGAGUUUCGGAAGAAAUAUAUUAGUGAAAGAUUUAUUGAUCAGAAAUGUAAAGAGUUUCUUGAGCUGAAGCAAGGUAAUAUGACAAUCUCAAAAUAUGAAAGAGAGUUUGUUCGAUUAAGUAUGCCAGGGAAUAUGUUCUUACAGAAGCCAAGAUGUGCCGACGAUUUGAAGACGGGCUCAACGAAGACAUUAAGGUAUUUGUCGGGAUCCUUGAACUGAAAGAAAUGGUAGUACUGGUUGAUCGAGCUUGUAAGGCUGAAGAACUACUAAAGGAAAAGAAAAAGGUAGAAUCUGAAACACGAAAUUGGAAGAAAAGACCAAUGAGUAAUGCACCUUCACAGCAACCCGAAAAGUCAAGAAAUAUGAAUCCUCGUUCCCAAGUUUCAGCUGGGUAAUCAUAUGGAAAUUUUAAGAAGCAGAAUGUGGGUCCUAAAUCUCAGACUACUUCUGCGGCUAGUGUGGGAAAUACGAGAUUUUUUAAACCCGAGUGCCAGCGGUGUGGUAGAAAUCAUUUUGGUCCGUGCAGAGCAAAUGAAUGUUUUCGAUGUGGUUCUCCGAAUCAUUUUAUUAGAGACUGCCCAUAGAGAGCUGAGAAAGAAAAAUUUCAGAGUGUAAAAGCUAGUGGUGUAAACUCGAGGGGAAGGUAUUCGAGAAAAGCUGGAAGUGAAACAAGCAGUAGGAAUGUAGCCAGAGAUGCAGAAGUUAGAUCUGAGGGAAGAGCUCCGGCUAGAACUUAUGCUAUUAAAGCGCGUGAAGAUGCUUCCUCACCCGAUGUGAUUACUGGUACAUUCUCUUUAUGAUAUUAAUGUUAUUGCUUUGAUUGAUCCUGGUUCUACUCAUUCAUAUGUAUGCAUGAAACUGGUGUCUAGUAUGAAUAUACCUGUUGAGAACACAGAAUUUAUGAUUAGAGUGUCGAAUCCACUAGGCAAAUGCGUGAUAGUUGAUAAAAUAAGUAAGAAAUGCCCUUUAAUGAUUCGGGGUCAUUACUUUUCGGCCGACUUGAUGAUGUUGCCGUUUGAUGAAUUUGAUGUUAUUUUGGGUAUGGAUUGGUUGACAUUGCAUGAUGCUAUAAUAAAUUACAAAGAAAAGGUUAUAGAAUUAAAGUGUGAAAGUGGUGAAAUUCUGCGGGUUGAGCCAGACAAAUCAAAGGCAUUAUCUAGUAUUUCUUCGAUGUCGGCUCAGAGAUAUUUGAGAAAGGGUUAUGAAGCUUAUUUGGCGUAUGUAAUUAAUACAAAAGAAUUUGAAAAAAAAGUUGAAUUAGUGCCGGUUGUGUGUGAAUUUGCGGACGUAUUUCUAGAAAAAUUACCGGGUUUGCCUCCAGUCAGGGAAGUAGAAUUUGGUAUAGAUUUGAUACCGGGAACAGCUCCGAUCUCGAUUGCUCCAUAUAGAAUGGCACCAACAGAGUUGAAAGAAUUAAAGUCGCAGUUGCAAGAGUUGACUGAUAAAGGCUUUGUGAGAUCGAGUUUUUCACCUUGGGGUGCUCCCGUGUUAUUUGUGAAAAAGAAGGAUGGUUCUAUGAGAUUAUGUGUUGAUUAUCGGCAGUUAAACAAGGUGACAAUAAAAAACAAGUAUCUGUUGCCGAGAAUUGAUGAUUUGUUUGAUCAGCUAAAAGGAACGACAUGGUUUUCAAAGAUUGACUUGAGAUCUGGGUAUUAUCAGCUGCGAGUAAAAGAGUCAGAUGUGCCUAAAACUGCUUUUAGAACAAGGUACGGUCAUUAUGAAUUUUUAGUUAUGCCGUUCGGGUUGACAAAUGCUCCUGCUGUGUUUAUGGACUUAAUGAAUUGCAUAUUUCGGCCAUACCUGGACAGAUUUAUUGUGGUGUUUAUAGAUGAUAUUUUAAUUUAUUCAAAAGAUGAGACAGAGCAUGCUGAGCAUUUGAGGAUAAUUUUGCAAACUUUGAGAGAUAAGCAGCUGUAUGUUAAGUUUAGUAAAAGUGGAUUUUGGCUCCGGGAAGUUGGAUUUUUGGGUCAUAUUGUUUCAGGUGAUGGUAUAUGGGUUGAUCCUAGUAAAAUUUCAGCCAUUGUUGAUUGGAAACCACCGAAAAACGUAAUUGAAGUUAGAAGUUUCUUGGGGCUAGCUGGGUAUUAUCGGCGGUUCGUAAAUGGAUUUUCUAUAAUUGCUACUCCUAUGACUAGACUACUCCGAAAGGAUGUUAAAUUUGAAUGGACGUAAGAAUGUCAACAGAGUUUCGAAGAAUUGAAAAAGUUAUUAACUGAAGCACCAGUAUUGAUACAACCCGAAUCAGGUAAAGAAUUCGUGGUGUAUAGUGAUGCUUCUCUAAAUGGUUUGGGGUGUGUACUCAUGCAAAAAGGAAAAGUGGUGGCUUAUGCUUCGAGACAGUUAAAACCUCAUGAGAAGAAUUAUCCUACUCACGAUUUGGAAUUGGCUGCGGUGGUAUUUGCUUUGAAGAUUUGGCGACAUUAUUUGUAUGGUGAAAAGUGCCGAGUAUAUACCGAUCACAAAAGUCUUAAAUACUUGAUGUCACAAAAAGACUUGAAUUUGAAACAACGAAGAUGGUUAGAGUUAUUGAAAGAUUAUGAGCUUGUUAUCGAUUAUCAUCCGGGAAAAGCGAAUGUGGUUGCCGAUGCUUUAAGCAGAAAGUUGUUGUUUGCUUUGAGAGUUAUGAACACUCAAUUGAAAAUUUCAAAUGACGGUUCGAUUCUAGCAGAGUUAAGAGCAAGACCGAUGUUUUUACAAGAGAUUUCUGAAGCUGAAAAAAAUGAUCAAGAUUUGCUAGCCAAAAGAAAACAGUGUGAAGCUGAUACGGGAUCAAAUUUCAGAAUCGGUUCUAAUGGUUGUUUGAUGUUUAAAAAUCAGAUUUGUGUAUCGAAAAAUGAUGAGUUGAUUCAAAAGAUUUUGCAUAAAGCACAUAAUAGUUGUUUAGCGGUUCAUCCGGGCAGUACGAAGAUGUAUAAUGACUUGAAGAAAAUGUACUGGUGGAGUGGAAUGAAAAGAGAUAUUUCCGAGUUUGUAUCAAAGUGCUUAGUUUGUCAACAAGUGAAAGCUGAACACCAAGUACCUUCGGGAUUACUUCAGCCUAUUAUGGUUCCUGAAUGGAAAUGAGAUCGGAUUACUAUGGAUUUUAUAUCAGGGUUGCCGUUAACUCCAGGGAAGAAAAAUGCAUCAGGACAAUAGUUGACAGACUGACUAAAUCGGCUCAUUUUAUUCCGGUACGUACAGAUUAUUCUCUUAAUAAGUUAGCUGAAUUGUAUAUCCGAGAGAUUGUUAGACUUCAUGGGAUACCUCUGUCAAUCAUUUCGGAUAGAGAUCCGAGGUUUACCUCACGGUUUUGGAAAAAGUUGCAAGAAGCAUUAGGUACAAAGUUAAAUUUCAGCACUGCCUUUCAUCCACAAACUGAUGGACAAUCAAAGAGAGUAAUUCAGAUUCUUGAAAACAUGCUCAGAUGUUGCGUAUUGGAAUUUCAAAAUAGUUGGGAAAGGUACUUACCAUUGGUAGAAUUUGCUUAUAAUAAUAGUUAUCAGGCAAGUUUGAAGAUGGCACCUUAUGAAGCAUUAUAUGGUCGUAAAUGUCGGACGCCAUUGUAUUGGACUGAACUCAAGGAAAGUCAAAUUUAUGGAGUUGAUUUAAUAAAAGAAACCGAAGAAAAGGUGAAAGUGAUUCGAGAUUGUUUGAAAGCUGCUUCAGAUAGACAGAAAUCUUAUGCGGAUUUGAAACGAAAAGAAAUGGAGUUUCAAGUUGGUGAUAAGGUAUUUUUGAAAGUGUCUCCAUGGAAGAAAGUCCUUAGAUUUGGACGAAAGGGCAAGUUAAGUCCGCGUUUUAUUGGACCGUAUGAAAUAAUUGAAAAAGUUGGACCGGUAGCAUAUCAGCUAGCGUUACCACCUGAAUUAGAGAAGAUUCAUGAUGUGUUUCAUGUAUUUAUGUUACGUCGGUAUCGUUCGGAUCCUUCACAUAUAAUUUCACCGACAGAAGUUAAACUACGACCGGAUAUGACUUAUGAAGAAGAACCGAUUAAGAUUUUAGCUCGAGAAGUCAAACAACUAAGAAAUAAAAGUGUUGCACUUGUGAAAGUGUUGUGGCAAAAGCAUGGGGUAGAAGAGACUACAUGGGAACCUAAAGAAACUAUGAGAAACCAAUAUCCACACCUGUUUACCGGUAAGAUUUUCGAGGACGAAAAUCCUUAAAAGGGGGGAGAGUUGUAAUAUCCUGAAUUAGGGCUUAAUCGGAAUAGUGGUUUGGUGACCACAAAUCCGAGAUAGAAAUAAUAAUUUUAUAAUUAUUUUGAUGAUUAUGAUAUGAUUGCAUGAUUGUGUGAAAAUUUCGUGAUGAAAUUCUAUGCCUAAAGUGCUUAAAUUGAAAGUAGGGACUAAAUCGAAUAAGUUGCAAAACUUGCAUUCUAGAAGUUUUUAGUAUGAAAUUGUUUUGGAAUAUUAAUGAGGAGGUCUUAAAUAGAAAUUUGACCAAUUUUAAGUUCAUGGACAAAAUUAUGGACAUGGAAGGAAUUUUGGAAAGUUUAGUAGUAAGGGUAUUUUGGUCAUUUAGUUAUUAAAAUGAAUUAAAAACAAAAUUAAAAGCCAAUUUUUGUCCAUCUUCUUCAUUAGGCCGAAAUUUCAAGGGUUCUCCAUAGCUAGGGUUUGUUUCAAGCUUCCAAGCUCCAUAGUAAGUGAUUCUAAGCCUCGUUUUUAAUGUUCUUUACGUUUUUAGAAUCCCGGUAGCUCGAUUAAGCUUAUGUUAGCAAUAAUUCAACCUAGGGUUUAUAUUUGGAAAAAUACCCAUAGGUGAAAUUUGUGUAUUAUGAUGUUUUAUGAUAGAAUAUGAGGUUUUAAAUUAUGUUAGACAACUUGUGCUACUCGGUUUUGAGUGAAAACGAGUAAAAGGGCUUAAUCGAUAAAAAUAUCUAAUAGUCACAAGUAUAUGUUAGAGAGAGAAUUUGAUGUUGCCAUAGAAGGGAAAAAUGAUCAGCAUGUUAUAAAACAUAAGAAUAAGGAAUAAAGUUUAAUUCCCGAGCCUAGGGGCAAAAGUGUAAUUAUGCAAAAGUUUAGGGGCAAAAGUGUAAUUUUUCCAAAGUUCGUAUUAAAUGCUGUUUUGAUGAAUGUAUGUAUUAAAUAAGAUUAAUUUGGUAUUAUAGAUUAAGAAAAACGAGAUUCAAGUCGCGAUCGAGGAAAAGAAAAGAUUGUGGACUAAAUUGCAAAAUCUUUAUAUUUUGGUACCAAGGUAAGUUCAUGUGUAAAUGUAGUAACAUAAUUGUCAUUUUAAGCAAUUUAAUGUUGUUUAUAUGAUAUGAUGCUGAUUAUUAUCAUGAAAUAUUAUGCUUUGUGGUUAUUGUUGAAUAAUAUGUAAUUAUGUGAAUUACUUGAUGAGUAUGAACUAUCACCGAAGUACCGAUUUCGAUAUUCCAUGGAAGACGGCAAAGAUGUGUCGAGGAAAACGCCCGUUUGAACCUUAGGAAUAGAUUAGGAUACAAGUGACAUGUCACUAGGAUGGUUGAGCAUCCGAACUCGUUGAGUUGAGUCCGAGUUCGUGAAAUGUAACUAGGCAUCUGAACUCAUUGAGUUGAGUUCGAGUUCACUUAUGGAUGCGAACACCCGAGCUCGUUGAGUUGAGUCCGAGUUCACUUAUGGGCGGGUUACAUGGUAGCUUGAUUACAUAUGAGGCACUUAUGUGCAAAUUAUCCGUGUAUCCAAGUUGUAUUCCGAUGUGUUCAACGGGUGAAAUUUCUAGUGAAAUGGAAGAACACUUAAGAUGCAAGCGAUGUUUUGGUAAGUGUUGUGAAAUGGAAACUUUGGACAGGUAUGUUCUUAACCCUCGGGUUGAAAAUAGAUACAACAAUGAUAAGGUGGUAAGAUGAGGAAUGAUGUUUAGAAAUGUGAUAUAUGUUUUGGUGAUACCAUGCUAAAGUUGUUUGGUAUAUUUGUAUUGUUAUGUUACUUGUUAUUUACAUAUGAACUUACUAAGCAUUUAUGCUUACUCUCUCCUCUUUAUUUACUGUAGUUUUGAACAAGCCAGCUCGGGAAUCGGGACGAGUCGAAG